UUAAAUUAAAAUAAAUUAUCUUUUUAGUUUCCCGAAAUAGGUAGAGCUAAUUAAAGUGUCUUUUUAGUUUUGAUUGUAUAAUGUAGCAUAAUUAUAAUUCAAAUAUUAAUUAGGGGUGAAAGGCUAAUCAAUACCUACAGAUAUCUGGAUAAUCCUUAAAGAUAUAUAGUAUAUUUAAGUCAGAUAUAAAAUUUUAAGGUUUUAUAUUAAAAAAAUAUUGUAAGUUUUUGUAGUGUAAGCGAAUUAAAAUUUUAUUUCAUUACUAGUAGAAUAAUUAAUUUACUCAAAAUUUUAAAGAUUAGGGAUUUUCUCCAUUAGACUUAUUAUGGAGUUGAUUUUGUUUAAAUUAGUAAUAAAUUAUCAACUAACCAAAAGGAACUCGGCAAAUCUAAAUCUCAACUGUUUAUCAAAAACAUAGCUAGCUGUUAUUUAUACCUAGUUUUUUCUGCCCGGUGAAAUGUCUUUAACGGCCGCAGUACACUGACUGUGCAAAGGUAGCAUAAUAAUUUGACUUUUAAUUGAAGUCUUGUAUAAAAGAAAGCAUGGGAUAAAUCUGUCUCUUGGUUAUUUUUAUUAAUUUACUUUAGAAAGUGAAAAGACUUUCAUACCUUUAAAAGACGAGAAGACCCUAUGAAUUUUUAUUAAAUUAGCAAAUAUGCUUUAGUAUUUUUGUUGGGGCAACAAAUUGACAUAGUUAUUCUUUAGAGGGAUAAAUUCAUUUUAAUACUCAAUGCUAGCAUUAACAGAAUAAAAUAUAUCGAAUGUUAUUAGUAAAAGAUAAAUUACUAUAGGGAUAACAGCAUAAUUUUAAAAAUUGGAUUAUGACCUCGAUGUUGGACUAGGAAACCCUUAAGGUAGCACUUUAACGGCAUAGUUCUGUUCGAACUUAAUUUCCU
rnacentral:rRNA from 1 species